rnacentral:tRNA from 1 species
AGUAUCCGCCGGCACCUGGAGCGCUCGGACUCUUAAUCCGUAGGUCGAGUGUUCGAGUCACUCACUCCCCACCA